rnacentral:lncRNA from 1 species
CAAAGGGAACAGGAGUGACUGGUUUGAGCUCUCACCUUGACAGUUGGUGGAGCUUAGAGUUAUAGAGGAAGAGGUCUAACCCUAACCCUUAGAAUGCUGAGAAGAGAAACCCCUCAGUCACUAGACUUGAUCACAAAGGUAUAUUACAAAUGAAGAGAUAUGAGCUUGGAAAUAUGAGAACUGAAUUUAAAUCUAGGUCCUGACAUUUGAUGACCACAUGACUGUCAAAUUUGUUCUGAAAAAAACCCCAACACCACAAAACAUGCUUAUUCUUGCCUCCCUCAAGAAGUCUUCUCCAGUAAUCUCACAGGAGAUUUGUUAAGGAGAAUAAGUCCUUUUUCAUCUUUUCAAUGUGAGAGCAACUUCUGAAGAUGACGAC